CCUACGGGUGGCUGCAGUGAGGAAUAUUGGACAAUGGGCGCAAGCCUGAUCCAGCCAUGCCGCGUGCAGGAAGACGCAUCUAUGGUGUGUAAACUGCUUUUGUACGGGAAGAAACACUCCCUCGUGAGGGAGCUUGACGGUACCGUAAGAAUAAGGAUCGGCUAACUCCGUGCCAGCAGCCGCGGUAAUACGGAGGAUCCAAGCGUUAUCCGGAAUCAUUGGGUUUAAAGGGUCCGUAGGCGGUUUAAUAAGUCAGUGGUGAAAGCCCAUCGCUC
rnacentral:rRNA from 1 species